CAGGUCGGGCAAUCAGACAUUGGCCCUGGCAGGCUAGCCACUGUCCACUGAAAUCGGGUGGCAGAGAAUAGUCGAAUAACUCACAAAUUGUCACUACCUGCCUACAACUCCGAUAUAAAUAAGCAUAGCCAUAUUCAUUGGACACAAUGUCCUUAAUCAUUUACUGCCUUUAGCUAUAUCGAUCAAAGAGAGCAACAUGUAUAUUGUUUUUCCUCUUUACAAUUUUCUUCUUAUUGCUCUUUUUCCAUUCAUCUUAUUACUUGCAAAACAAGUGAGAUCACGGAAACCUAGAGCCAAUCUACCUCCAGGUUCAAUGGGUUGGCCCUAUGUAGGUGAAACCAUGCAACUAUACUCUCAAAACCCUAAUGUCUUUUUUUCCUCUAGGAACAACACGUAUGGAGAAGUUUUCAAGACUCACAUACUUGGCAGUCCUUGUGUGAUGCUGUCUAGCCCAGAGGCUGUGCGGUUUGUGCUGGUGACUCAGGCACACUUGUUUAAACCCACAUACCCUCAAAGUAAAGAAAGAUUAAUUGGUCCCUCAGCACUUUUCUUCCACCAAGAUGACUACCAUGCACAGAUUAGAAGAUUAGUCCAAGGAUCUUUGUCCUUGGAUGUUAUCAGAAGCUCGGUGCCAGAUAUUGAAGUCAUUGCCAUUUCUACCUUAGACUCGUGGUCUGGAAAAGUUGUUAACACCUUUUAUGAGUUAAAGAAGUUCACCUUCGAUGUUGCUGUCUUGUUUAUCUUUGGUCACUUGAACAAUCACUACAAAGAGAUGCUCAAGAAAAACUACUACACUCUAGACAAAGGCUACAAUUCUUUCCCUACAAAACUCCCAGGCACCUUGUACAAUAAAUCGGUUUUGGCAAGGAGGAGACUGAGCUUAAUUCUCGGUGAGAUAAUAAAAGAGAGAAAAGAAAAGAGUUUGGUGCGUAAAGAUCUAUUGGGCAGACUAUUGGACUUCAAAGAUGAGAAGGGAGAAACACUAACACAUGAUCAAAUCGUUGACAACAUCAUUGGAGUAACGUUUGCUGCUCAGGACACCACAGCCAGUCUCUUAACUUGGAUGAUCAAAUACAUUCACGAUGACUCAAAGCUUCGAGAAGCUAUCCAGAUAGAACAGAAGACAAUUUUUGAAUCAAAUGAAGGAGGAAAUCAUUCGCUGAGUUGGUCACAGACUAGAAAUAUGCCCCUUACCAGCAGGUGGAAUUUUUUGGGUGUUAUCACAACAACGCUACAUAGUGGUUGUGAUCUAUGCACUAGCGGAGCUACACCCACGACUAAGGCUAUAAAGGAGAGCUUGAGGAUGGCAAGCAUCGUAUCCUUCACCUUUAGGGAAGCUGUCGAAGAUGUUGAAUACAAAGGAUACAUGAUCCCAAAGGGAUGGAAGGUACUGCCUUUGUUCCGGAACAUCCAUCAUAAUCCUGAAUUUUUUGUUGAUCCGCAUAAAUUCAAUCCAUCAAGAUUUGAGCUCGGAGUAAAACCCAACACAUUCAUGCCAUUUGGAAAUGGACUUCAUAUAUGUCCAGGAAAUGAAGUUGCCAAGCUGGAGAUGCUUAUUUUCAUCCACCAUCUUGUUAACAAAUUUAGAUGGGAAGUGGUGAGGUCGAGUGGUGGGGUUCAUUACGACCCAUUUCCAAUACCUCAGCAAGGACUUCCAGCCAAGUUUUGGAAAGAUUCAAGCCUGUUAAGGACCACAAGGCCAGGCUAGCAGGGAGGAAUGAAAAACUGAUGGAGUAUAUGUAUACAUGCAUGUAGUAGUGAUAACUGAUCAUCUUGUUACCUCAGUGAAUAUAUAUAUAGGUAACAAGUAUAUAUAUAUAUAUAUAUAGCCAUUGAUUUUUCUUUUCUGUUCUCUGUAGUGUCUACCACUUCACAGAGAGAGUCCAACAAAAAUACAUAAAUAUGAUGGUGGGCACGAAUUAAUCUAUGUCUGGCUCGGGUAAGCUAUAAACUAACCAAAAAUUAGGGAGAAAUAUAACCACUCAUAUAUAGGCUUAAGCCUAAACCGUACAAAAAGAAAAACAAAAGACUAUUAACUACAUUGUAAAAUAUGAAGAAUUGGUACAGAGGAGGAGGAAGAUGAUAGAAAGAAACAAAAGAAAUUCUAGAGAGAGAGAGAGUUUAAAGAGAGAAAUAGGAUUUGUAUUAACUAAGUAAAUGAAUAUUACACACACUGCUUUUAUAAGAGAAAUCCUAACUACUUUUAACCAAAUACUAACAAUCUUACUAACUAUAUUCCUAACUGUAUUACACUUGUACCCUUAAUACUCCCCCUCAAUCUCAACUGGGGAAACCCAGUUUGAGAUUGGAAGAACAUUUGCAAUCAUUGCUAUUAAAUCAUAAAACAGAACACAUAUUUGAACCAUCUGUAAUCUUGCAAUCCCACUUCAUCCAAUUUGAGACAUCUGCUUGAUCUUCAUAGCUGCAAUAAUGGAACCCUUAAAGGAUUUGGGCAUCUCUGUAGCACUUUGACUGAGCACCACCUAGAGCUCCUACCAUGGCAAUAGCUGCAGUAAUAGUUAUAUGGAGACCAAUUGGCUGAUGUUGAAGAGAUUUUGCAUGAACAGAUGGCCCUCCCUUGCUUUUGAAGGUCAACAUUAGCAAUCAGUCCUGGUCCACCACGACCCUGAUCUCGACUUCUAUCAGUGCCUUUGUCAUUUUCAGCAAAAUCCGCUUGUAAUUGUCGGCCAUUGAUCUCAUAACCCUAAAGAUUAUGACAAGCACUUAGAGUAGUCUCUCUAUCAAUAACUAGUCUGAAAGAUACAACAGGACCAACCUCCUGGCAUAUUUCUACAAGCUGUUCCUCAUUCUCAUCCUUAGUUUCUUCACACAACCAUACACCACAGAGUAAGCGCAUAUAGUCAAACCAUAUCACCAAAGCUUCUAGUUUUCCCAAAGCCUUGAAUCAAACAAGUGUACCCCAUGACCUCUUUGUAGCUGUUAACCAAAAAACUUUUGUUUGUUAGUCCAAAUUUCUUCCACUGCCUUACAAAUAAAGACAUCCUGUAUUCCUCUACCUCUAUCAGGAGUUUUACACAA